AGUUGCCUUGAAAAUAUCUUCAGCAAGUGGUCCCUUAAACAUUCUCAUCUCUGGAUUUCUAGGGCACAUUCUCUCACCUGAUUGUCUAUCCAUUUUCUCCACACUCCUAGUCAGUCACCUUUGCUGUGCUCCUUCUGUUUCAUCUUCCCCUUAAAGGACAUCAAGAAAGUGAAAGUGUGUCCGAAAUUGGUGGGUUCUUGGUCUCACUGACUUCAAGAAUGAACCUGCGGACCCCCGCGGUUUCUACAGCAAUGUUAUCUUGAAUGGUUUGUCAACAUGUUUCACUGAGAAAACUUAAAGCAACUCUGGUAACUACAAGUGGAACCUUGUUACAAGUGGAACCUUGACAACUUCAGAAGUGACCAUCACAACCAAACAUUCCCUGCUCUGAAUCACCUGACAUUCACUGUCUCAUUCACACCAGCUUCUUCAGGUGGCCCUUGAUGAUCUGCCUGCCUCCACAGAGGCUCAGAAAAUUAGCCUUUUCUUUUUUUCUAGAUUUCACUCUUCAUGAUGGAUGUGAAAGACAGUAAAGUAUGCUAGUUAAAACCCAGCCUCUGGAGACAGACUGAUGUGGGGUAAAUCCAGCUUUGCCACUUAACAGUUCUCUGCUCUUGCACAAUUUUACUUAACCUCCCUGAACCUGAAAUCGGGCUAGUUACAGCAUAUUAGUGAAGCAUUCAUCACAGAACCUGAACAUAGGGAGUCCUCAUU